rnacentral:misc_RNA from 1 species
AGCUCGUUAGUAACGAUGUUGUUCAAGUUCCU